AUAAUCAAUACAAAAAAAUUUAAAUAGAAAAAUUCGUCUAACAUCGUUAUAAAAAAAAAAUAACACAAAAAUUAAUUAACUAAAAUUUUUUGAAAAAAGUUAUAAAACUAAAAAUUUAGAGAUUAAAUAUUAUCCUGAGAUUGAGAGAUUAUAUUGAGAGAUUAUAAAUAGAUUUUAUAAGAAAAGUUGUUGAAAUAUUAUGAU
rnacentral:lncRNA from 1 species